AGCGUUGCGCAGUGGCAGUAUCAUAGCCAAUGAGGUUUAUCCGAGGCGCGAUUAUUGCUAAUUGAAAACUUUUCCCAAUACAACAAUGCUAGCUAACUUUUGGCUUAUCUGUAAAUAACGGAAUCAUUUAUAUGG
ensembl:snRNA U4 U4 spliceosomal RNA